CCUGGUUUAGCUUAGUUGGUAGAGCGCUCUACUGGAAAAGGAGAGGUUCCGGGUUCGAUAACCGAACCAGGU
rnacentral:tRNA from 1 species